UUUCAGCUCAUCGGUGUACGAAGAUACAUAAGUAUUGAACAUGUGUUUUAUCCAUAUGUUGCAUUGGCAACUGGGUAUAAUUAAUUUUCAUUAAUGUAACACUUAAAAGCUUUCAUUGUACUCUCAGCGUAUGUACGCAUAUAUGAUACUUGCUCCACUAAUUGUUGCCCAAGUGAAAAAAGGAUAGAAAAUGAGAGCCAGAGCGAAAUCAGUCACAUUUACCGCUAUCCGGCGUAACCAUAGCAAAAGCCAAACACCCUCCAUCCUACUUUCCGACAUUGUAAGGUUAUGUAGCAUAUUUCUGCGCAAUACAUUGCGUUAGUAACAGGGGGGAAAGCAAAAUAUUGUUGCAAAAACGCCCCCGCACUAACCAGUAACAGGAACGGGACAAAAAGAAAAAAAGGACAGGUGCGUAACGAUGCCGCACACAAAAACCUUUGCUUGUUUCCUCUUCGGAAAACUCAUUCAAUGUUCUAUCACAGAACUGGAUAGGGUAUACACAUACACACACACACACACACACAUGCAAGCACACACACGUACGCACAAUUGGCCUGCGCGCCCCAACGCAACAACAAUAACAAUUUCCACAUUUUAAUAACAGAAACAGCAGCGCAUGAGAGAAGCAAAGAGAGCAGCCGACUGGGAGGAAAUCUUCACAGUGAGAGAGAGAGAGAAAGAGAGAGUACAGCGCGUAACUAUGCCGCUAUUUGACUUUAUACACAAUUUGUUUCAUUAUUCUUCAGUUGGUGUUGCGGCUGGGGCUCCUGGUGCUAUUGUUAUUGUUGUUGCUGUUAAUGGAAACAUGUUCUGCAUUUGAAUUAAAAUUCAAUGGCUUUUUAUUCGGCACAGUUGCUAAUUAAAGCACGCAUUUACCAGUAAUAUGUUAGAAUGCUGUUCGCGUGCCAGUACUGAAGUGGCUGCUGAAUGAAAAAGGUGGCAACUGCAAAAAGCGACAAAGGGCACACUUCCACAGUAUGGCCACGCUAGUCAGGCAACUGCAACAAGAGCUAGGAAUCGCAAUAGGUUUGUGUGUUUAUGCCAAGCACAUUUUAAACUACCCAGUGACAUGCAACGGCGGCAGCAGAAUAUGUGGGCGGCAGGUGGCGCAUAUUUUUCUUUUUCUUUUUGCUUUCUUUACAAAAAUAUACAAACGGCAGCACAACAGUCAUUUGUUGGUAUAAAAUAUAUGAAUAAUGAAUUUGUUUUUGGCAUUGAAAACUAACGCGGAAGGGUAGAGUUGGGCAAUGUUGUGUUUGCUUUCGUGACACGAAAGCGUACGAUGAUUGAACAUCGAACAAGAUUUUACCGUAGUUCUACACGAAGCAUGUUAGAGCUUAUAAUAUAUGCAUCAUAAUUUUCGUGCAACCAUCUCUAAGCAAUGAGAAAAGAAAUUAAAACGUAAAAUAAAAUAUGUAGAUAGGAAAUGACAAAUACAAACCGA